rnacentral:rRNA from 1 species
UGGGGAAUAUUGCACAAUGGGGGAAACCCUGAUGCAGCGACGCCGCGUGAGCGAAGAAGGUUUUCGAAUCGUAAAGCUCUGUCCUAUGAGAAGAUAAUGACGGUAUCAUAGGAGGAAGCCCCGGCUAAAUACGUGCCAGCAGCCGCGGUAAUACGUAUGGGGCGAGCGUUGUCCGGAAUUAUUGGGCGUAAAGGGUACGUAGGCGGUCUAUUAAGUCAGGUGUGAAAGCGUGAGGCUUAACCUCAUUAAGCACUUGAAACUGAUAGACUUGAGUGAAGGAGAGGAAAGUGGAAUUCCUAGUGUAGCGGUGGAAUGCGUAGAUAUUAGGAGGAAUACCGGUGGCGAAGGCGACUUUCUGGACUUUUACUGACGCUCAGGUACGAAAGCGUGGGGAGCAAACAGG